rnacentral:pre_miRNA from 13 species
GGCUGCACAGGAUAAUGCAUUAUCCCGUGCGGUCCGCUUCUUAUCCCGUGUGGUUGUCAUAAGCGGACCGCACGGGAUAAUGCAUUAUCUCGUGCGGCC